rnacentral:SRP_RNA from 1 species
CCGCGCAGCCGGGAAGAUAGCGGCGUCCUGUACCUGCAAUCCGCUACAGCAGGGGUGAUGGUCGGCCUCGGGUUUAUUUUGUAGGGCUGCCUUUAUAAGUGAUGUUGACGUUUGGGUCUUAUGCAAUGGAAUCCUGUGAACCGUGUCAGGUCAGGAAUGAAGCAGCACUAAGCAGAUCAUUUCAUGUGACAUGAGGAAGCCUAGACCGAGUUAACUGUAAAGGUAACGCUUAUGGAAUACUCACAAAGCAGAUCGCGCGG